GGUCUUAUGAUGUAAUGGUUAGCACUCUGAACUUUGAUCCGGGUUCAAAUCCCGGUAGGAGCU
rnacentral:tRNA from 1 species